AUACUUACCUGACUGGUGUUCGGCUGUGAUCAAUGAGGCAGCUGACAUGAGCCGGAGCAGGCCCUUGCACUCCGGUGCUGUAAUGGCUCAGGAAUGCUCUUAAUGGGUACUCCACAGUAGAAUUUUUGGUAGAGGGGGUUUGCGCGUGCGCAGCCCCCAC
rnacentral:snRNA from 1 species